rnacentral:rRNA from 1 species
GACGGAGGGUGCAAGCGUUGUUCGGAAUUACUGGGCGUAAAGGGCGCGUAGGCGGUCUGUUAAGUUCGGUGUGAAAGCCCCCGGCUCACCUGGGGAACUGCGCCGGAAACCGACAGACUCGAGUACCGGAGAGGAGGGUGGAAUUCCUGGUGUAGCGGUGAAAUGCGUAGAUAUCAGGAGGAACACCGGUGGUGUAGACGGCUCACUGGACCGUAACUGACGCUGAGACACGAAAGCGUGGGUAGCAAACAGG